rnacentral:rRNA from 1 species
CAGCCGCCACGGGAAUACGUAGGUGGCAAGCGUUGUCCGGAAUUAUUGGGCGUAAAGGGCUCGCAGGCGGUUUCUUAAGUCUGAUGUGAAAGCCCCCGGCUCAACCGGGGAGGGUCAUUGGAAACUGGGAAACUUGAGUGCAGAAGAGGAGAGUGGAAUUCCACGUGUAGCGGUGAAAUGCGUAGAGAUGUGGAGGAACACCAGUGGCGAAGGCGACUCUCUGGUCUGUAACUGACGCUGAGGAGCGAAAGCGUGGGGAGCGGACAGGAUUAGAUACCCCAGUAGUCCCUGUCUCUUAUAC